rnacentral:rRNA from 1 species
ACGCUCGACACCUACGGGAGGCGGCAGUGGGGAAUAUUGCACAAUGGAGGAAACUCUGAUGCAGCGAUGCAGCGUGAGGGAAGAAGGUUUUCGGAUUGUAAACCUCUGUCUUUGGGGACGAUAAUGACGGUACCCAAGGAGGAAGCUCCGGCUAACUACGUGCCGGCAGCCGCGGUAAUCUGAGCGGGCUGGCAAGGC